rnacentral:lncRNA from 1 species
AUUUUAUUUAUUUUUAUUUAACUUAACAUCACUGAAAAGGAAAAAAGUCUCCAAAGAGAACAUAUUGUGUGACAUCAUGCAGUUUUGAAACUCCAGCAGGAAAUGGUCUGCUCCUUCUGAUCUUCACUCACAAAGUAUGUUCGUACUACUCAACAGAAACAGAAAAAAACCUUAGCAUACCUUGGCUAAAACAGCAGCUAAGUCAACAUCAUGGGGGUUUUACAAUUGAAGGUUGCAGGCUUUUUCCAGUUCUAAUUGCCUGAAUUCUUGUUGCCAAUAAAAUGGAAAGCUAGCUUCCUGGGUAACUUCCUGUAUGACUGAAUGAGAAACAAAUCUUGAAAGUUUCACACUCACAAGGCUCAGUUCUGCUAAGUGGAAGCCAAGAUGAGCAUUUUUGAAAACUCUCCUACAGAAGCAAAUGAACCAAACUCAAACUGCGAAG